rfam:Thelohanellus kitauei scaffold04331, whole genome shotgun sequence.
UGGAUUUCUGCGUCAGUGUAUGCAAAAUUUG